AGGAAUAUUUUAAUGAAAAAGCUCCAACUAUGUGUGAGAACAACUUGGAGAGACUUUGACAGCUCAAGUCCGCACAAUACCUGUAGGUGCCACUUGCCUUUAUUAUAAUG